rnacentral:rRNA from 1 species
AUUGAACGCUGGCGGCAUGCCUUACACAUGCAAGUCGAACGGUAACGGGCCUUCGGGUGCCGACGAGUGGCGAACGGGUGAGUAAUACAUCGGAACGUGCCCGAUCGUGGGGGAUAACGAGGCGAAAGCUUUGCUAAUACCGCAUACGAUCUACGGAUGAGAGCAGGGGACCGCAAGGCCUUGCGCGGACGGAGCGGCCGAUGGCAGCUUAGGUAGUUGGUGGGAUAAAAGCUUACCAAGCCGACGAUCUGUAGCUGGACUGAGAGGAUGAUCAGCCACACUGGGACUGAGACACGGCCCAGACUCCUACGGGAGGCAGCAGUGGGGAAUUUUGGACAAUGGGCGCAAGCCUGAUCCAGCCAUGCCGCGUGCAGGAUGAAGGCCUUCGGGUUGUAAACUGCUUUUGUACGGAACGAAAAGCCUUCUUUUAAUACAGGAGGGUCAUGACGGUACCGUAAGAAUAAGCACCGGCUAACUACGUG